CCUACGGAGGGCAGCAGUGGGGAAUAUUGGACAAUGGGGGCAACCCUGAUCCAGCCAUGCCGCGUGUGUGAAGAAGGCCCUCGGGUUGUAAAGCACUUUCAGUGAGGAAGAACGCCUGGUGGUUAAUACCCAUCAGGAAAGACAUCACUCACAGAAGAAGCACCGGCUAACUCCGUGCCAGCAGCCGCGGUAAUACGGAGGGUGCGAGCGUUAAUCGGAAUUACUGGGCGUAAAGCGCGCGUAGGUGGCUUGAUAAGCCGGUUGUGAAAGCCCCGGGCUCAACCUGGGAACGGCAUCCGGAACUGUCAAGCUAGAGUGCAGGAGAGGAAGGUAGAAUUCCCGGUGUAGCGGUGAAAUGCGUAGAGAUCGGGAGGAAUACCAGUGGCGAAGGCGGCCUUCUGGACUGACACUGACACUGAGGUGCGAAAGCGUGGGUAGCAAACAGGAUUAGAUACCCUAGUAGUC
rnacentral:rRNA from 1 species